UGUGUGUUGUGUGUGUGGUGUGUGUGUGUGUGUGUGUGUUGUGUGUGUGUGUGUGUGCGCAUGUGUUACAUAUGUAUGAAUAUAUAUAUACACACACACACACACACACACACACACACACACACACACACACACAUAUAUAUAUAUAUAUAUAUAUAUAUAUAUAUAUAUAUAU